CCUACGGGCGGCACCAGUAGGGAAUCUUCGGCAAUGGACGAAAGUCUGACCGAGCAACGCCGCGUGAGUGAAGAAGGUUUUCGGAUCGUAAAACUCUGUUGUUAGAGAAGAGCAAGGACGUUAGUAACUGAACGUCCCCUGACGGUAUCUAACCAGAAAGCCACGGCUAACUACGUGCCAGCAGCCGCGGUAAUACGUAGGUGGCAAGCGUUGUCCGGAUUUAUUGGGCGUAAAGCGAGCGCAGGCGGUUUCUUAAGUCUGAUGUGAAAGCCCCCGGCUCAACCGGGGAGGGUCAUUGGAAACUGGGAGACUUGAGUACAGAAGAGGAGAGUGGAAUUCCAUGUGUAGCGGUGAAAUGCGUAGAUAUAUGGAGGAACACCAGUGGCGAAGGCGGCUCUCUGGUCUGUGACUGACGCUGAGGCUCGAAAGCGUGGGGAGCAAACAGGAUUAGAUACCCUUGUAGUC
rnacentral:rRNA from 1 species